rnacentral:lncRNA from 1 species
UUAUUGCUAUUAUUGCAGUUAAAAGGUACAUCUCAACAUUGUUUCAUGCUGUUUGCAGGUCUUCCAUUUUUUCGCUUAUGCUAUGCUGUACUUGAUAUCAGGAAUAUCACAUGCUUCAACUCCACUGCGAAAUAAAAAGCAUGACUGCCUUGCUGACCAUUUAUCUUUCACUGGUUUGAAUCCUUCCUCAGGCACAGUGCAGGGGCAAGAAGGCCAACUCCUGAAGGCCCACUUAAUUCAGCAUCUGUGGUCUAACUGAUCGGCAUUACGUAAGAUGAACUUCAGCAUAACAUAACCAGUCCCAACUGAAAGUGGACAUCAAGGAAGACAGAGAAUCAUUUUUCCUCUCAAGAAAGGAAAGAAAGGGAAACUACUGUAGAAGGAAGAAUUACAUGGCCAGGAAGCAGGUAUUUCCCCUGCCUUUUUCCAUUGCAUGAAUGUAUUUGUGCACUGCAUAUAUGAAAAAAACCCUCCAUUUGCUGGUAGGUCGUAUCCCUUCCUUUCCAAAACCUGC